UGUGGAUUAUGUCCCUGUCUUUAUAAAUAAUAAGUGUGUAGGAAUGAUGUCCUAUUGUAAAAUGAGAUGACUGGACCUGAACAGUCCAGAUACUACUGCAAAUUACAUCCUGGGUUGAAAUAGAUAGUUAUGUGCUUAUAUAUGGAGAGAAAAAAAGAGAACAGAAAAUGUCAUGUUUAAACUAUACAAGGAUUUAUAUACAUUUCAAAAUGACUUUAAUGAUUUGUUUUUGUUUUUUGGCAUGAUGUAAAAAUUCAUGUCUCGCUGUCACGGUCCUGUUAAAAUGAGUUCUGUGUCUUGUUUGUGAAAUGAGUUGUAAAUGUAAUAAAUACUAUAUGGAAAGAGAAGCCUGUUGAAAGCAACUAGUUAUUCAUUACCGUGUACUAGAAACGACAACCUGGGCAGUAGGUCAUCUUUAAUCAACUGGUAUUCACUACCGUGUACUAGAA
ensembl:lncRNA